rnacentral:misc_RNA from 1 species
CGAUGAAAAACCUUUUUUUUUUUCGUGAGGUGUGGCUCGCACCUGUCUAACUAAACCGAGCUACCAUUUUCAACACGGUUGCACGGGGUAGGCCUGUCAGAUAGCGCGCGAAUUGAUUUUCGAGGCUGGACGACCGGGUCUACCACCAACAUUUAAACACUUUUUGAUGAUCUAGGAUUUGAAGGAAGUUCAUUUUACGAUGGAACCGACUGGUAAUGCGGUCGUCUAAAUCUAAAAAA